rnacentral:rRNA from 1 species
UACGGGGGGGGCAAGCGUUGUUCGGAAUUACUGGGCGUAAAGGGCUCGUAGGUGGCCAACUAAGUCAUACGUGAAAUCCCUCGGCUUAACCGGGGAACUGCAUCCGAGACUGCAUUGCUAGAGUAUGGGAGAGGGAAGCGGAAUUUCUGGUGUAGCAGUGAAAUGCGUAGAUAUCAGAAGGAACAUCAGUGGCGAAGGCGGCUUCCUGGACCAAUACUGACGAUCAGGUGCGAAAGCGUGGGGAGCAAACAGG